rnacentral:rRNA from 1 species
UACGAAGGGGGCUAGCGUUGCUCGGAAUUACUGGGCGUAAAGCGCACGUAGGCGGAUUGUUAAGUCGGGGGUGAAAUCCUGGAGCUCAACCUCCAGAACUGCCUUCGAUACUGGCGAUCUCGAGUCCGGGAGAGGUGAGUGGAACUGCGAGUGUAGAGGUGAAAUUCGUAGAUAUUCGCAAGAACACCAGUGGCGAAAGCGGCGCACUGGACCAUAACUGACGCUGAGGCGCGAAAGCUAGGGGAGCAAACAGG